rnacentral:rRNA from 1 species
CCCUUAGAUGUCCGGGGCCGCACGCGCGCUACACUGAAGGAAUCAGCGUGGCUUUCUCCCUGACCCGAAAGGGUUGGGAAACCCGUUGAAUCUCCUUCGUGAUAGGGAUUGGGGCUUGAAAUUGUUCCCCAUGAACGAGGAAUUCCCAGUAAGCGCGAGUCAUAAGCUCGCGUUGACUACGUCCCUGCCCUUUGUACACACCGCCCGUCGCUACUACCGAUUGAACGGUUUAGUGAGGGCCUCGGAUUGGUCUCGGCCCGCUCUUUACCGGGCGGCGCCGUUGGUCGAGAAGACGCUCGAACUUGAUCGUUUAGAGGAAGUAAAAGUCGUAACA